rnacentral:lncRNA from 1 species
CUGGUGCCCCUGCCCGCCUGUCUCCGUACUGCCAUGACGGACAAAUUUGCCCAGUUUGACGAGUACCAGCUGGCUAAGUACAACCCUCGGAAGCACCGGGCCAAGAGACACCCCCGCCGGCCACCCCGCUCUCCAGUCAGUCACUGCCCCAGCCCUCGACCCACGCCCCUUUUCUCCAGGAAGGGCAGGACAAGGGAGCAUGCUGAUGCUGGGGAGUCCCACACCAGGAGCAAAGGGAGUCAGAGAAAUGCAGGGGAGCUGGGUAGAGCUCAUGGGCAUAUGGUGCAGGGCAGUCUUCUUUUCUAGUUGGCUUCCUUUUUGGUAGAGAUGCACCUUCAGGGCUAUUGACUGGAUCUCUUCAAGGACAGCCAGUUCCCUUUUUUUGAAAUUGCUUCUCCUGUCCCUACAGGGGAUGGAGCCUCCAUUUUCUCACAGAUGUUUUCCAAGGUACAUAGGGUUUCUCAGAGAAGAGCAGAGAAAGUUUGAGAAGGCCGGUGAUACAGUGUCAGAGAAAAAGAAUCCUCCAAGGUUCACCCUGAAGAAGCUGGUUCAGCGACUGCACAUCCACAAGCCUGCCCAGCACGUUCAAGCCCUGCUGGGUUACAGAUACCCCUCCAACCUACAGCUCUUUUCUCGAAGUCGCCUUCCUGGGCCUUGGGAUUCUAGCAGAGCUGGGAAGAGGAUGAAGCUGUCUAGGCCAGAGACCUGGGAGCGGGAGCUGAGCCUACGGGGGAACAAAGCGUCGGUCUGGGAGGAACUCAUUGGUAGAGUGACCUUGACCAUCACAUUCCCUCCUUCUCUUCCCCAUUUAUGCCUCCACAUUUUAGAUCCUCACUAGAAGAUUUCUGUGGAAUGAUGAAGUUAUUACUUUGCCUGGUUGUUGUAUUUGAUUUAUAAGGUCUGCCAUUGACUACACCAAAGUAAACAGUGGUACCUGCUUUGAGUAAUGUUGGCAUCAUAGAUCAUUAUACCAGAUGUAGUUAGGUGAUGUACAAGUUUUUAUCAACAUAUGACAAAAGUACCUUCUCUCUCAUUGUACUCAUAUCGAUAUCUCUGUAACUCAUUCCAAAAAAGGUAGGAC